rnacentral:rRNA from 1 species
CUGCAGCCCGAGUGGUGAUCGAGUUUAUUGAGCCUAAAGCGUCCGUAGCCGGACUAGUAAACCCUUGGGUAAAUUGGGCAGCUUAACUGUUCAAAUUCCGAGGGGACUGCUAGUCUUGGGACCGGGAGAGGUCAGAGGUACUCAAGGGGUAGGGGCUAAAUCCUGUAAUCCUUUGGGGACCACCAGUGGCGAAGGCGUCUGACUAGAACGGAUCCGACGGUAAGGGACGAAACCCUGGGGCGCGAACCGGAUUAGAUACCCGAGUAGUC